rnacentral:rRNA from 1 species
GAUGAACGCUGGCGGCGUGCUUAACACAUGCAAGUCGAACGAAGCAUUUAGAACAGAUUAUUUCGGUAUGAAGUUCUUUAUGACUGAGUGGCGGACGGGUGAGUAACGCGUGGGUAACCUGCCUUGUACUGGGGGAUAGCAGCUGGAAACGGCUGGUAAUACCGCAUAAGCGCACGGUGCCGCGUGGCACAGUGUGAAAAACUCCGGUGGUAUAAGAUGGACCCGCGUCUGAUUAGCUAGUUGGUGAGAUAACAGCCCACCAAGGCGACGAUCAGUAGCAGACCUGAGAGGGUGACCGGCCACAUUGGGACUGAGACACGGCUCAGACUCCUACGGGAGGCAGCAUUGGGGAAUAUUGCAAAAUGGAGGAAACUCUGAUGCGGCGACGCCGCGUGAGUGAAGAAGUAAUUCGUUAUGUAAAGCUCUAUCAGCAGGGAAGAUAGUGACGGUACCUGGCUAAGAAGCUCCGGCUAAAUACGUGCCAGCCGCCGCCGUAA